GAAAUUCAUAACGUGAUAACGUAAUGUUCAUUGAGUAUAUAUACCAACGCCGAACUAAAAUGCCCGUCAGCUAUCGUUAAACAUUCGUUCACAUCGAUUUCAACGAAAAACGAACGCACACCUGGAUAAACGAUACUUUUAACGCGUUACGUUUAAUCCUUUGAUUCGAAUAAACGCGUAUGAUAUAGAGAUUGAAUUCAUUCGGCUUAUUUGAAUUUACUUUCAUUCUUUUCCUGUCAUGCUCGUAUAUACAAUAUAAAAUACUAUCCUGAGUUAACAUAAAUAAACUGGCAACCUUGACGCAAAUCAAGAAAAAAGGUAAAGAGAAAUAUAUGACUAGCAAGAAAAUCCCUUAGAGGAUUUACUCACGGUCUUCCUCAUCAACUGUCUACAAGAAAAAUUACAACGUGAAAGCUAUACCAAUACGAACCUUGUCCUUGGUAAAAUGGGUACCAAAGGGACUUUAAUUGUUUUACUUUGUACUUUGAAAGUUUUAUAAUAGCUCCAGAACACUUAUCCGUUAUAUAAAUCAAUUCACAAUGCACAAAAUCAUGACAAAUCCCUCAACAUGGUUACAGAUUGACAAAGUACAAUCGCAAAAUUAUGUAUAAAAAAUAACAACAAUACUAUUAUGACGUGUAUUGUAAUUAAAAAUCGUAAAACUAAUAACGACAAAAUUUACAGAUUUAUGUGGAUACUGAUUAUGUUCUACGAAGCUUACAAAAUAUA